UUGCGUAGGUGUUGUGCACAGAGGUGUUACAUAAUAGUCUGUCCAUGACGCCUAGGCAUAC
rnacentral:pre_miRNA from 1 species